UUCUUUGUUCCCAGAGGCGUUCUCUUGCAUUUGGUUGCAUCAGAACUUAUUUCUUCAUGCAGCAGUCAUGUAAGUAGGCAGCGUAGUCUGGGGAUGACCAGCUUGUGGCUGAGGGCCCACGUACUGUUGAACAAAACUGCCUCAGCAUCACAUCAUCUGCUUCAUCCAGGUAUGGAUCCCUGCUUGGUUGCAGAUUAAGGGGCCGUCAAUUGCAGGUGGAUUUUUUGCAUUGGCACUUUGUGGGUCAGGGGGGUUUAAAUGUAUAGGCCAUGAGUCCUGGCUGUUGUAUCUGCUGAUCUCAUUGACCCUCCUCUGUAACCUGCUGUGUCCUCAUUACAUGACCUCGCUUUCUGCUGCCUGUAAAAGUUCCCAGCCAAGAGCAUCAGCAAAUGGUGGGUAAGGUGCCAAAUGGUGUGGGCAGAGAGCAGAGUAGAGCAUUGAUCUCAACUGUCUGGAGAUCCCUGUUGAUCCAAGAGCAAAAAUUUUUUGUUGGUGGUUUUGGGCUCUGAAGUCAGGCCAACAAGUUUUUGGGAUAUCCCAGGCAAUGGCAGGGCAAUUCAAUCAGGCUGUCUUAUCAGAUUUUCUUUCUCUCCUAUCUUUCCCCUUUCUUCACUGUCAGGAGAAAAAAUCCUGGCUAUAAGGGUUGGUUAUGUGUUGGUCAGCUGCAGCUUUUAGCACAGUAAGCAGAUAACAAACUAUGAGAUAGCUUAAAAAUCCAGCUGCAUGUAUGUCCAGUGACACAUCUGGCCUCCAGGUCCUUCCCAGCUCACGUCCUGCACGCUCUUGUGCCUUUCCAGCAUGGAACUUAAGCUCAGACUCCCCCAGGAAGGGAAGGACGUGCAUCCUGCCUGUCCUGUGCAUACAGUGUUCCUCUCCGUGGACUCUUUCCAAGGUGUUGGUCUCCAGAAUGCUCCUGGCUCUGCUCUUCUUGGAAGCAGUGUUGAGACAUCUGUCAGUGUGAGCCCGCAGAGGGAAGCUGACGUCUGCUCGUGGCGCUAGGAUCCAGUAACUCUUCCUGUAAGAAUGUGUUGCUUGGAUGUGUAGAGAUGCUAUCGAUCUGACAAUGGAGGUUGCAGAUGAAGGAGAAAAGGUUGGAAUUAAGCCGACAGCACUCAGCUGCUGUAAGGGAACUGACUUCAUUUGACUGGCUCUGUCAUCCUCAGGAGGAAACUUUACGAAAUGGUGAAAUAGUGCCUACGUGGAAACAUUCUGAGUGUGCAUGGGCCUGGAGGUAAGCAGGGCCCAGGUAAGGACUGAUGGAUUUGUGACAUUUCUGACUUCUGGAACUGGCCAACAAAGGGCCAAGCAAGUGAUCAAUGAUCUGACUUCUCAUCGAAGCAAGUGAGUGGCAAUGGUAGCGAAGGAGCAAUGUCAUGAGUUUGGUUAAUCUCCCUUUGGACUUGAUGGGGCUGCUCUCACCAGUCCUGACAGUUUGGCUUCAAAGGCUUUCUCGAGUAUUUGGGAGUGGCUGCAGCAUUGCUUCUGGUGUCAUGUGCAUGGCUCAUCAGGUGUGGAGAUGAGGGUGGUGCAUAAGCUAGCCUUCCUGCUGGAGGUCACACAUUAAUGAGGAGCACAGGCACUGUCAGUCCAGUGUUUUCACUUUGAUCUUGAUCACCGUCAGCUAGUGGUGUCAGUAGGAGUCGUUAGAGAGAGAAUAAACACUUUCUUACCUAAAUAAGAGGCUCUUCUAUCUUUCAAGUGCCCGUUAUUUGGCUAAUUUAUCCCAAGUGAGGGUCAUUUGUUAACCACCUCUUGAAGAGUUUCUGAUAGAGCAGAAGAGAGGGCUGCAGUUCCUCUUCACUGCCAGCCCCAGAGGCUGGGCUAGGAGUGCACCUAUCCACAGUGGUUGGUACCAGACACGGGUACCCAUCAUCUCUACAGUAGAUGCCAAUACAGAUCAGCAUCCUUGGGAUGCUGCUGCCCAUCUGGAGUGGCAACAAGCUGUGAGGAAUACCCUUGGACAGCCCAAACAGAAUGAGGUCUUCGUGCUUUGGCAACUGAAUACCACCCAUCUGUUUCUAAGGAGGCCUUUUGAAUUCAGAGUGCUGUGUGGAAGGGAGAGAGUUGGAAAUGGGGCAGAGAGUGAGCUAGUGAGACUCAGGAUCUGGGCAAUGAGAGCUGAUUCAGGAGAUGGUCAGCCCUGGAUUCUGGGGCUGGAGAAUCUGUCUCACUGAGGCAACAGAGACGUGAUCCUGCAGCAUCUGUGCUGCUGCCUGCAGUUCCUGUCCCCCACCUUCAAGAAGCUUUAUUUUUCGUUCCAGAUGAGAAAGAAUAAUCCUUGGGGGUGGCUGUGAAGAGGAAUUGUCACCCUUCCUCCAGCUCUAUCUUCAAGAGGCAGUUAACAAAUAACCUUCCUUUGGGAUAAAUUAGCUCUGAAUCCCAAUUCAAUAGCUGCUCAUUUUAAGAUGUCCUUGUUACCUUGUGUGAGUGGCUGAUCUUCCUUUGAAUCCUGCUGUGUUUUCAGACCCCGUGAUUGCUACGAGCAAUCAUGAGCUCCACGUUAACAGCUCAUGCACUGAUUGCGCUGCGCAGUCCCAACACAACCCUUUGUGAAAAAGUUUCUGGAAGUUGAGCCUCUGCCUUCCGCCGUCAGAAAGCGACACGGUUCUCAUUCCAUCCCAAAUUCAGGCAACUGACUUCAAACGGAGGCCGGGUUUGCAAGGCCUGGCGCGAGGACAGGAUCCGUGCUUCGGAGUCCAGCUUUAGAAAGAAAAUAUUUUAGACAUCGUCAAGGAAACCUGGUGAAGGCACUGAGUUGGCCAGCUGUGCCUGCGGGCAGCCUGGAGCAAAGGCUCUGAGAUGUGCAAAUCGUAACGCAAAUGGGUUUAUUUUUUUCUCCAGCCCGGCGUUGUUGCAGAGGAGGAGAGUGGCAUAGGAUGGCUCCAAAGAAAAGAGGAAGAAAACCUCCUGCCAUGUCAGCUUGCCCAGACCUUUCUGUGAGACAGCCUUCCCCAGCUACGUUAAGGGCUGCUUCUUGUGGACUGGAAGUAUUGCCAGAGAGUGAGUGAUCCUUAUUAACCUGCAUCUCCAAAAACAACAGGCAGUCUUGCACAGAUCCUCUAACAUGUAUCUUUGGAUUUUGAGAUGUUUGAGAGCUAUUUAUUCCCUCUCACACCAAUAUCAGCCAUAGUGCAAGAUGUCUUGAGCUGAUUAAAAAUCUCUUUAAUCAAAUACUGGCAGGGGAAGUGUUCAAAACAUUAGAAGAAUGACUUUGACAAGCUGCCCCUGCACUGUGAGUGACUUCAUCCAGAGUUUGGCCCGGCAGGCUGGCAUGUGAUACACAGCCUCCACUCACCUUGAUUUCCAAAGCUGCCAACAAAGUGCAGUGAUGAUUCUGAGAGCCAGUAGGACACUGUAGCCUGUGUUUGGUUCUUUUCUGUGAGAUAGUGCCCCCCAAAAAACCUUUGUUCCAGGCAAAAUCCAUCACUCCGUUCAUCAACCCCUACCUACGCUUCAAAUUCCUAUAUCCCAAAUCCAUGGGAACGAUUUUGAACAUGAAUGUAGCUUGGAAAUCAUUGCUGUGCAGAUUGUCUGGAGGCUUUUUUUCCCCCUGUUCUAUGGCUGAAGUGGACUUCAAAAGGAUAAAUAAAAUCCAUUCUGGAAGACCCCCCCCUGCGAGGAGCGUACUUCUCUGGAGAGAGGGUAAAAAGAAGCCUCCUGAUAUUUUAUUCAACCAGUAUGAAGUGUUUUGAUUUUGGGGAAUUCAGCUAAUUUUCUUACUCCUCAAAAUAGGUCAGCUUUGAAAUAGAAAAUGUCACGCUGAAACAAAAAAACGGAAUAGAUUUGUUUAGUAAAUGUAAGAUUAUAUGUACAUACUUUCAGAAUUUUAACAAGCUUAUGAAUGGAAAGAAAGCAUCCAGGUUAUUUCUUAUUCAAUUAGACUUGGAUUUGGGACCAGUUUUCACUCUCCAUAAACUGCUUUUCUAUUUCAUUUAGAAAAUCCCCUUCCUCCACAAAAGCCCCUUCCCCUAGCCUUUGCUGGAAAUAAAUAGCUAUAAUAUAGCUGGAAUUAAUACAGCUACACUGAAUCAACUAUGUGCUGAAUUUUUUUUCCUCAGUGCCCUCUGGGCACCCAGACCUGCUCAAUAGGAAGCGUUAGCACUUGGGGCAACAUAUAGAAAACCAGGGUGGAGGAAAUCUUGUGCCAGCAGCCCUCUUGUGUGAGUCUUCUCCAAGCUUUGACUCUAUUCCCUUAUUCCUUUGCAGAUGUCCUAAGCCACAUUUUACUUCCAUUAUGACAAAAAUCAUGCAAGAUACUUGUCUUCUUUUAUUUAUAUACAUAUAUUCUGUAGCAUUUCUGUGUUCCUACACCUUCUCUCCUUGUGGCAUCGCUUAUGGAUGUGUAAGUAGUGGGUUAGUUUCUAUUCUCACUCUGGGGGGUUGGGUUCCAAACUGUUUAUUGAGUAAUAAAAAGAGAAAAUUGCGAGUCGUUGCCCAGGGAUAAUGUGCUAAUAAUUUUAUGACUGGACAAAUGGUUGCAACAGCCCACAAAUGGUGGUAGGCAGGAAACCUGGUGUCUAUUGCUGACAGAGCCACCCCCAAGGAGAUAAAUCCCUCGUUUGGGUGAUCAAAGUUGAUGCAACAACUGUGAUCUAUUAAAAAUUACUUUGGAGGUGGGUAAGGCAAUCAUUAUUCCUCUUGGAGGAGAAGUGCCAGAUAUACUUUUUGGGAAGUGUUUAGAAGUGAGCCCUGCAUGGAAUGAACGCAGACCACCGUGGCUGCUUGCGCUCGGAGCCACGCGGCACACAGCUGCAGGGCUGCAGGCUGGGGAUGCUUGGAGAAACAGAGAUUAAAGGGGGUUAUUGCUAUCAGGCAAACACAAAUCAUCCCAGAGAUAACAAAGGGUUGAAGUUUCUUUCGACAUUGACUGUGUGGCACUCGAGUUCAUUAGCCUGGCUUUACUGCUGCAGAGCAUGGAGCCGGAAUGGCUGCUGCAGGGCGUACAGCAGGAUACACCCUGUCCCAUUCUGGGCUGAUGUCCCCUGUCUGAUUUCUCAAGGAGGACGUCCCCCUCCUGGGGAUGGGGCAGUCGUCCUGUCUGCACCAAUUUCUUUCCACAGGUGUGGAGUUUGGUGGGGAAGGGUGAGCAGGGCCCUUGUGAGGUCUCUUUCUGCCCAUCUCCCAGCAGGCAGGAGGAGCUGUACCUCUUCCAAACCCGCAGCGGAUCCAGCCCUCGAAGCAGGCAGGAAGCCAUGUGAUGGGGUGUAGCUGCUCACAGCUGCCAAGACCUCACAUUUGUAUGUUAGUGAUGCAGAUAGGAUCUCAUAAACCCGUCUCCAUACUGCUUUACUGCUGAUUUAACGAUCAGAGGAAGAAGUUGACUGUUUAUUAAAACAUUAGACAGUAAAGUUUAACAAUAGACAGUAAAGGGUUUUGUUUUUCCAUCCCUCUGAUUGUUAAAGCAACAACACACAGGCCUGGAGAGGGGCCUGCUGCUAACCUCAGAAUGAUGAUAUGGGGCCAUGAAGCUCCUCCAGCAGGCAGGACGGAGCAGCUGGCAUGCUGGUGAAUCCCAUAUCUGAAGAAGGCAAUGUGAUGUAGGGUAUUGGGUGCGUGCCCCAUCCCUAGAGGUGCUCAGGGCCAGG